rnacentral:rRNA from 1 species
UACGGGGGGGGCAAGCGUUGUUCGGAAUUACUGGGCGUAAAGGGCUCGUAGGCGGCCAACUAAGUCAGACGUGAAAUCCCUCGGCUUAACCGGGGAACUGCGUCUGAUACUGGAUGGCUUGAGUUUGGGAGAGGGAUGCGGAAUUCCAGGUGUAGCGGUGAAAUGCGUAGAUAUCUGGAGGAACACCGGUGGCGAAGGCGGCAUCCUGGACCAACACUGACGCUGAGUGAGCGAAAGCCAGGGGAGCA